UACAGAGGUCUCGAGCGUUGUUCGGAUUCAUUGGGCGUAAAGGGCGCGUAGGCGGCGGGGUAAGUCUGGUGUGAAAUCUCGGAGCUCAACUCCGAAAUUGCACUGGAUACUGCUCUGCUUGAGGGUUGGAGAGGAGAUCGGAAUUCACGGUGUAGCAGUGAAAUGCGUAGAUAUCGUGAGGAAGACCAGUGGCGAAGGCGGAUCUCUGGACAAAUCCUGACGCUGAGGCGCGAAGGCUAGGGGAGCAAACGGG
rnacentral:rRNA from 1 species